AAUUAAUUUUAACGGCCGCGGUAUCCUGACCGUGCAAAGGUAGCAUAAUCACUUGUCUCCUAAAUAGAGACUUGUAUGAAUGGCAAAACGAGGGUUUAACUGUCUCUUUUUCUCAAUCAAUGAAAUUGACCUACCCGUGCAGAGGCGGGUAUAACUUUAUAAGACGAGAAGACCCUGUGGAGCUUAAAAUUACAACUUAAAUUAAUUUAUAUUAUACCCUAAGGGAUUAAUCUUACAAAACUUUUUUUAAGCUGAAUUUUUGGUUGGGGUGACCUCGGAGCACAAGCAACCCUCCGAAUGACAUAACUAAGACUAACAUAUCUAAGUGCAACCUAAGCCAGUAAUUGACCCAAAACUUGAUCAACGGAACAAGUUACCCCAGGGAUAACAGCGCAAUCCUAUUU
rnacentral:rRNA from 1 species